UACGGAGGGGGCUAGCGUUAUUCGGAAUUACUGGGCGUAAAGCGCACGUAGGCGGAUCAGAAAGUCAGAGGUGAAAUCCCAGGGCUCAACCUUGGAACUGCCUUUGAAACUUCUGGUCUUGAGUUCGAGAGAGGUGAGUGGAAUUCCGAGUGUAGAGGUGAAAUUCGUAGAUAUUCGGAGGAACACCAGUGGCGAAGGCGGCUCACUGGCUCGAUACUGACGCUGAGGUGCGAAAGCGUGGGGAGCAAACAGG
rnacentral:rRNA from 1 species